GUGCUCACUUUGGCAGCACAUUUACUAAAAUUGAAAUGAUACAGAGAUUAGCACAACCCCUGAGCAAAGAUGACACACAACUUCGUGAAGUGUUCCAUUAAAUA